CCUACGGGUGGCAGCAGUGAGGAAUAUUGGUCAAUGGCCGUAAGGCUGAACCAGCCAAGUCGCGUGAAGGAAGAAGGAUCUAUGGUUUGUAAACUUCUUCUAUAGGGGAGUAAAGGUCUCCACGUGAGGAAAUUUGCAUGUACCCAUUGAUUAAGCAUCGGCUAAAUCCGUGUCAGCGGCCGCGGUAAUCCGGAGGUUGCGAGCGUUAUCCGGAUUUAUUGGGCUUAAAGGGUGCGUAGGUGGUUUGUUAAGUCGGCGGGGAAAGGUUGUGGCUCAACCAUAAGAUUGCAGUGGAAACUGGAAGGCUUGAGUGUGUUUGGGGUAGGCGGAAUGCGUGGUGUAGCGGUGAAAUGCAUAGAUAUCACGCAGAACACCGAUUGCGAAGGCGGCUUACUGGGCCAUAACUGACGCUGAAGCACGAAAGCGUGGGGAUCAAACAGGAUUAGAUACCCCAGUAGUC
rnacentral:rRNA from 1 species